rnacentral:rRNA from 1 species
GACGAACCGUGCGAACGUUGUUCGGAUUCACUGGGCUUAAAGGGCGCGUAGGCGGGUUCUCAAGUCGGGGGGUGAAAGCCCACAGCCUCAACUGUGGAAGUGCCGUCCGAUACUGGGAAUCUUGAGGGGAGGUAGGGGUGCGUGGAACUUCCGGUGGAGUGGUGAAAUGCGUAGAUAUCGGAAGGAACGCCGGUGGCGAAAGCGACGCACUGGAUCUCUUCUGACGCUGAGGCGCGAAAGCCAGGGGAGCAAACGGG